GUCAUUUUCUUUAAGUGGUACAUCACAUGAUAUUCAAAAGUGAAAACCAAGCAGUUUGGAUUAUGUUUUUCUAUAAUAUUGGUAUUACAUACAUAUAUGCUUCCUACAUAAUCAAAAUCUUCUGCAUCUGCUCCUGACUCAGGCCCAGGAAGCGAAUAUUACCAUUUUAUUCAAAAGGAAAUGAUGAAGGCAACGAUCACAGACAUGGAG
rnacentral:lncRNA from 1 species